UUUUUUUUUAAUCCAAA
rnacentral:sRNA from 1 species